rnacentral:rRNA from 1 species
CCUACGGGGGGCAGCAGUGAGGAAUAUUGGUCAAUGGGCGCGAGCCUGAACCAGCCAAGUAGCGUGAAGGAUGACUGCCCUACGGGUUGUAAACUUCUUUUAUAAAGGAGUAAAGUGAGGCACGUGUGCCUUUUUGUAUGUACUUUAUGAAUAAGGAUCGGCUAACUCCGUGCCAGCAGCCGCGGUACUACGGAGGAUCCGAGCGUUAUCCGGAUUUAUUGGGUUUAAAGGGAGCGUAGAUGGGUUGGUAAGUCAGGUGUGAAAGUUUGCGGCUCAACCGUAAAAUUGCAAUUGAUACUGGCAGCCUUGAGUACAGGAGAGGUAGGCGGAAUUCCUGGUGUAGCGGUGAAAUGCGUAGAUAUCAGGAAGAACUCCGAUGGCGAAGGCAGCCUACUAGACUGAAACUGACAUUGAGGCUCGAAAGCGUGGGUAGCAAACAGGAUUAGAUACCCGAGUAGUC